UGUGUUUCACGGUGUAGUGCAUUUUAUUUAAUGUAUUUUUUGGUGUAGUGCGUGUUUUUUUGAAGUAUGAGUUUUUGGUUUAGUGCGUGGUUUUUUUUCGGGUGUUUAUUUUGUAUUAUAAUUAUUGUGUAAUUCAGUGUAUGUUUUCGAUGUAGUGCGUGUUUUAUUUUUCAUUGUGUGUUUUUGGUGUAGUGUGUUUUGUUUCUAAGUGAGUGUUUACGGUGUGUAGUGCGUGUUUUUUGUCAGUGUGGUUUUGAUGUACUGCGUGAUUUUUUUCCAGUGAGUGUUUUCCAGUGUAUUUGUUGUGUAAUUCAAUGUGUGUUUUAGAUGUUGUGCGUAUUUUAUUUUUAAUGUGUGUUUUUGGUGCAGUAUGUAUUUUUUUUCACUAUGUGUUUUUGAUGUACUGCGCGGAUUUUUUCACUAUGUGUUUUUGAUGUACUGCGUGGAUUUUUUUCCAGUAUUUGUUUUCCAGUGUAGUUCUUGAGUAAUUCAAAGCGAAAAAAAACCGCACACUACACAAAAAACACGCACUUCAAAAAAACACGCACUACACCAAAACACACAUUGAAUAAAAUUCACUACACCGUGAAACACACACUGG
rnacentral:lncRNA from 1 species